rnacentral:lncRNA from 1 species
CCCUAACCGCCUGCCCUCGCUGGAGAAGAUGAACCAGACGCCAGAGGAGCCGGCUGUCGCCACUCACCGUCGCACCGGGGAGUUUUCCGACCGCCGAUCGAGGUAAAUUUCAUACCCCCGGCUCGUUUUUCCACGCUGAGUUACCCUGUGGCCAAAUCGGAGCUAAAAUCCCGGCCAAACGGCCGAAACCCAGCGGCGCCGCCGCGCCCCUCCUCGGUUUUUACCUCCGAUGAG